CAUGCAAGGCCAGUAUGAGUGUAACCUGGAGAACACUGUAAAGCAUGUGAAAGCCUUGUGCAACUUGGUUAUUUUGAACAUGAUCAUCAAGGUAUAAAAGCGUGUGUAUUUUUCAUGUCAGGGAGUUGCUGCAAUGUGUCUGAAGCAACUCCCUGGCUGCCGCUAAUAAAUCAUAUUACUGAAAAAAAUAAUAACUUGGCGCUUGAUGCUGCACAGCUAAGGAAGGCAGGAAGGCACUGAGGAAUCUAGCACACACUUUGGAAGUGAUUCAGGGAUCCCGCGGAGGCGAGCGUACAGGUACAGGUGCUCCCUCCCCGUCAGCAGCUCGUCUAUGGCGUCAAACUGAGGGCAGUAGCCCAUAUUCUGGUGCACAUCCAGGAUAUUGCUACUGACGCCUCCCCUGAUGUCACAUCCGUGUCUCCAGUCAGCAUUUUAAAGGUUGUGGUUUUACCUGCACCAUUUACACCAAGAAGCCCAAAGCACUGCAGAAAACAUUUAAGUUGAUUCCCAC